UGCGAAGGGGGCUAGCGUUGCUCGGAAUCACUGGGCGUAAAGCGCACGUAGGCGGCUUCUUAAGUCAGGGGUGAAAUCCUGGAGCUCAACUCCAGAACUGCCUUUGAUACUGAGAAGCUUGAGUCCGGGAGAGGUGAGUGGAACUGCGAGUGUAGAGGUGAAAUUCGUAGAUAUUCGCAAGAACACCAGUGGCGAAGGCGGCUCACUGGCCCGGUACUGACGCUGAGGUGCGAAAGCGUGGGGAGCAAACAGG
rnacentral:rRNA from 1 species